GAUGAACGCUGGCGGCGUGCCUAAUACAUGCAAGUCGAGCGAACGGACGAGAAGCUUGCUUCUCUGAUGUUAGCGGCGGACGGGUGAGUAACACGUGGAUAACCUACCUAUAAGACUGGGAUAACUUCGGGAAACCGGAGCUAAUACCGGAUAAUAUUUUGAACCGCAUGGUUCAAAAGUUAAAGACGGUCUUGCUGUCACUUAUAGAUGGAUCCGCGCUGCAUUAGCUAGUUGGUAAGGUAACGGCUUACCAAGGCAACGAUGCAUAGCCGACCUGAGAGGGUGAUCGGCCACACUGGAACUGAGACACGGUCCAGACUCCUACGGGAGGCAGCAGUAGGGAAUCUUCCGCAAUGGGCGAAAGCCUGACGGAGCAACGCCGCGUGAGUGAUGAAGGUCUUCGGAUCGUAAAAAUCUGUUAUUAGGGAAGAACAUAUGUGUAAGUAACUGUGCACAUCUUGACGGUACCUAAUCAGAAAGCCACGGCUAACUACGUG
rnacentral:rRNA from 1 species